GUCGAGAGAGAAUGAGGGCGUUUUUUUUUUUGGAAAAAGAAGAGUAAACGAAUUUUUUUUUCUGAAAACCUUAGUUUUUAUACUGCUGCGAAAUGACACCGUUUCGUUCAAGGUUUUUUAAUGCCAAAACGGUGCCGUUUUAAGGCGACCCGUCUACGCGACCCAUGGACCCUAAAGAUCCGUGUGUUUUUGGACUGAGGGUCUAUUUACCUUUUCA
rnacentral:lncRNA from 1 species